UACAGAGGGUGCGGGCGUAAUCGGAAUUACUGGGCGUAAAGCGUGCGUAGACGGUUAUUUAAGUCGGGUGUGAAAGCCCCGGGCUCAACCUGGGAAUUGCAUUCGAGACUGAGUAGCUAGGGUACGGUAGAGGGAAGUGGAAUUUCCGGUGUAGCGGUGAAAUGCGUAGAUAUCGGAAGGAACAUCAGUGGCGAAAGCGACUUCCUGGACCAGUACCGACGUUCAGGCACGAAAGCGUGGGGAGCAAACAGG
rnacentral:rRNA from 1 species